rnacentral:rRNA from 1 species
CGUAGAGUACGUUGACGUCCGUGACGCGAAGACGACGCUGGCGGCGUGCCUAAUACAUGCAAGUCGAGCGGACCGGAUGGGGCUGCCUUGAUCGUCAGCGGCGGACGGGUGAGUAACACGUGGGCAACCUGCCCGCAAGACCGGGAGUAACUCCGGGAAACCGGAGCUAAUACCGGAUAACACCGAAGACCGCAUGGUCUUUGGUUGAAAGGCGGCCUUUGGGCUGUCACUUGCGGAUGGGCCCGCGGCGCAUUAGCUAGUUGGUGAGGUAACGGCUCACCAAGGCGACGAUGCGUAGCCGGCCUGAGAGGGUGACCGGCCACACUGGGACUGAGACACGGCCCAGACUCCUACGGGAGGCAGCAGUAGGGAAUCUUCCGCAAUGGGCGAAAGCCUGACGGAGCGACGCCGCGUGAGCGAAGAAGGCCUUCGGGUCGUAAAGCUCUGUUGUGAGGGACGAAGGGAGCGCCGUUCGAAGAGGGCGGCGCGGUGACGGUACCUCACGAGAAAGCCCCCGGCUAACUACGUG